AGGACGAACGCUGGCGGCGUGCCUAACACAUGCAAGUCGAACGAGAUCCAAGGAAGCUUGCUUCCUGAAGAUCUAGUGGCGAACGGGUGAGUAACACGUGAGGAAUCUGCCCCGAACUUAGGAAUAACCAGAGGAAACCCUGGCUAAUACCUAAUACCCUCUUUCAGUCGCAUGGCUGAUUGCGGAAAGUUUUUCGGUUCGGGAGGACCUCGCGGCCUAUCAGGUAGUUGGCGGGGUAACGGCCCACCAAGCCUACGACGGGUAGCUGGUUUGAGAGAACGAUCAGCCACACUGGAACUGAGACACGGUCCAGACUCCUACGGGAGGCAGCAGUGGGGAAUCUUGCGCAAUGGGCGAAAGCCUGACGCAGCAACGCCGCGUGCGGGAGGAAGGCCUUCGGGUUGUAAACCGCUUUCAGCAGGGACGAAAUGACGGUACCUGCAGAAGAAGCCCCGGCUAACUACGUGCCAGCAGCCGC
rnacentral:rRNA from 1 species